CUCGAGUCUACACUGAUCUGAUCUCUGGGGUUUCUCCUGCGAUAUUCAAGAUACUUCCAGAGAUCCCCUGGGAUUAUUUACAGGGCAGACCGUAUAUUGACUGGCAGACAAUCGGCAUUGGGUCUGAUCAUGUCUGUGAUGAUCCGAGUUCAGUUACAUUAUCGCCUGCUCCGCUAAUCACGGCCACGUAUGGUAUAGCAAUCUACUAAUUCCUUCGAUUCUACAAUUUCCGACAAUCAUGGCGGCCAUCAAUCGACAUCUACUCACUGUAUCAAUUUGUCAUCAACACGAGCGGCGUCUACAGGCGUUCGUCGAUGGACUGAUGGAAUCGAGGAUUCCCGCCCUGAUGGACGUCUGCUUUCCUCACUGGAAUCGUUUCACAGAAACUCGGCGCAAAUCUGUCAGUCAAAGCAGACUAUGUGUAUGGCUUCAUGGCACCCUGGUGGGGUCUGAUGCAAAGACGGUGAUGUUAAAGAGAGCACGGAGAUGGGCGACAGUGACAGCCCUGCAUUAGUGUUAGUCCGGAAAGGAUAGGGAAUAAAGAUUCAUUGACGACUUCUCCUACUUUGUAAAAUAGAAUGUCGUCUGCUUUGCUCAGAAAUGGAACGGCACCACAAAGAUCUAAGGGAGAUAACCAAAGCAGGAACUUCUUCCGCGGAACCUGAGACAAGAAUUGUAAUGAUAUGAUUAUUUUUUGCCUGUUUGAACAUUUUAUUACUCCCUAUUUUUUGGAUGCGUGGCGAAACUUGUUUCAAAAAAUAUAGAAUUUUAAAAACGUAGUUAGAUUAUAUAAAUUCAUUUUAGAC
rnacentral:sRNA from 1 species